AUUAAACGCUGGCGGAAUGCUUUACACAUGCAAGUCGAGCGGCAGCACGGGGUCAACCCUGGUGGCGAGCGGCGAACGGGUGAGUAAUACAUCGGAACAUGCCCAGUCGUGGGGGAUAACACUUCGAAAGAAGUGCUAAUACCGCAUACGUCCUGAGGGAGAAAGCGGGGGAUCUUCGGACCUCGCGCGAUUGGAGUGGCCGAUGUCAGAUUAGCUAGUUGGUGGGGUAAAGGCCUACCAAGGCAACGAUCUGUAGCUGGUCUGAGAGGAUGAUCAGCCACACUGGGACUGAGACACGGCCCAGACUCCUACGGGAGGCAGCAGUGGGGAAUUUUGGACAAUGGGGGCAACCCUGAUCCAGCCAUUCCGCGUGAGUGAAGAAGGCCUUCGGGUUGUAAAGCUCUUUCGGCAGGAACGAAACGGCGAGCUCUAACAUAGCUUGCUAAUGACGGUACCUGAAGAAGAAGCACCGGCUAACUACGUGCCAGCAGCCGCAGUAAAAC
rnacentral:rRNA from 1 species